UGGCUGUAGCUAUAUUAACCAGAAGGAAACUGACCAGUUGUUGUUGUUUCAUCCACAAACCGCUUACCGAACUUCCGAAAUUA